rnacentral:rRNA from 1 species
UACGGAGGGGGCGAGCGUUAUUCGGAAUUAUUGGGCGUAAAGGGCGCGUAGGCGGCUUGACAAGUCAAAGGUGAAAUCCCUCGGCUCAACUGAGGAACUGCCUUUGAAACUGUCUGGCUUGAGGCCGGGAGGGGGUAGCGGAAUUCCCAGUGUAGCGGUGAAAUGCGUAGAUACUGGGAGGAACACCAGUGGCGAAGGCGGCUACCUGGACCGGUUCUGACGCUGAGGCGCGAAAGCGUGGGGAGCAAACGGG